GUGGAAAUACAAACAUGCUUGCUUUGCCCCAACAGCAAGAGCAAGUAUAUAAAAGAGCAUAGCAUAACACUGGGAAGGCAUUUAGAGUAUUCUGCAGAGUUUUGGGAUAAUAUAUUCAGGCUAGGUAUACAUGUUUAAACAGUAGACACAACUAAGCAUGCAAAUAAUAAAAUGUUAGUAGACAUGUUCAAGAUUAUACAAUAAAAAGUGCAAAAUCUUUCACUGUGUCACAGAAAAAUAUUAUAGUAAUCAAUUUUCACCAAUAUCACUAUACAGUGUUAAAGUGAAUAUUCAGGUGUUUGGUAGAAUAAAAGGUGAAAUAUAUAUGUAUACACUACCUUUUACUUAUGGGUUUCAACCUGAAGAUCUCUUCAAAUCUUCCACAAGUACAUAGGCAAAACACAAUAGGGUUAUCCAACUAUAGGGAAACAAAGAAGAACAUUGCAAUUCCG